AUUGAACGCUGGCGGGAGGCCUAACACAUGCAAGUCGAACGAGUGGCGGACGGGUGAGUAAUGUCUGGGAAACUGCCUGAUGGAGGGGGAUAAAUACUGGAAACGGUAGCUAAUACCGCAAACCAUCGGAUGUGCCCAGAGGUGAUUAGCUAGUAGGUGGGGUAAAGGCUCACCUAGGCGACGAUCCCGAGCUGGUCGGAGAGGAUGACGAGCCACACUGGAACUGAGACACGGUACAGUCUCCUACGGGAGGCAGCAGUGGGGUAUAUUGCACAAUGGGCGCAAGCCUGAUGCAGCCAUGCCGCGUGUAUGAAGAAGGCCUUGGGGUUGUAAAGGCCUCUCAGUGGUGAGUCUUUACCCGCAGAAGAAGCACCGGCUAACUCCGUGCCAGCAGCCGCGGUAAUAC
rnacentral:rRNA from 1 species